GAUGAACGCUGGCGGCGUGCCUAAUACAUGCAAGUCGAGCGAAUCACUGGGAGCUUGCUCCCGGUGGUUAGCGGCGGACGGGUGAGUAACACGUAGGCAACCUGCCUGUAAGAUUCGGAUAACUUCGGGAAACCGGAGCUAAUACGGAAUAAUACCAUUCUCUGCAUAGAGAAUGGUUGAAAGGUGGCGCAAGCUACCACUUACAGAUGGGCCUGCGGCGCAUUAGCUAGUUGGUGAGGUAACGGCUCACCAAGGCGACGAUGCGUAGCCGACCUGAGAGGGUGAUCGGCCACACUGGGACUGAGACACGGCCCAGACUCCUACGGGAGGCAGCAGUAGGGAAUCUUCCGCAAUGGACGAAAGUCUGACGGAGCAACGCCGCGUGAGUGAUGAAGGUCUUCGGAUUGUAAAGCUCUGUUGUUAGGGAAGAACAAGUAUCGUUCGAAUAGGGCGGUACCUUGACGGUACCUAACGAGAAAGCCACGGCUAACUACGUG
rnacentral:rRNA from 1 species